AGGAAACACUUAUAAAUCAAGCAAACAAAAAAAGACCGAAUACGAUUCCUAUAUUCGGUCUAGGGAAAUGGCUCUUGGGAGAGAGCCGUGCGCUAAAAGUUGGCAUUUUGUGCAAAGCUUGUUCAGCCGUGCACUUUAAGAGUAGCUUACCGCGCUAUUUUUGCCAGCCAGCCACACGGCCAGUGAUAGUUUCAUUACGGAAUUAACUCUGCAUGAUUUCCCAUCACCGGUUACCUCAAACUAAGC
rnacentral:sRNA from 1 species